AUACGUAGGGUGCGAGCGUUGUCCGGAAUUACUGGGCGUAAAGAGCUCGUAGGUGGUUUGUCGCGUCGUCUGUGAAAUUCCGGGGCUUAACUCCGGGCGUGCAGGCGAUACGGGCAUAACUUGAGUACUGUAGGGGAGACUGGAAUUCCUGGUGUAGCGGUGAAAUGCGCAGAUAUCAGGAGGAACACCGGUGGCGAAGGCGGGUCUCUGGGAAGUAACUGACGCUGAGGAGCGAAAGCAUGGGUAGCGAACAGGAUUAGAUACCCUGGUAGUCCAUGCCGUAAACGGUGGGCGCUAGGUGUAGGGGUCUUCCACGACUUCUGUGCCGUAGCUAACGCAUUAAGCGCCCCGCCUGGGGAGUACGGCCGCAAGGCUAAAACUCAAAGGAAUUGGCGGGG
rnacentral:rRNA from 1 species